rnacentral:rRNA from 1 species
AUGGUGACCUUGCCUCCUUCUGAAGUUUCAAAGUCAAAUUUCUCCUCAAGCCACCUUAAUGAUCAGAAGCCAGUAGACGACGUUCAAAUUGUGGGGACUUCCAGUUUUGUUGAUAGAUGCAAAGACCUUUCAAGGUCUAAUGAUGUUGCUUACAACAAGCUUAACAACUUCAACUUGACAGAAUCUCAAUCAACUAGUCAUUUCCCUAAGAAUCAAAAAGCUAUUGCUAGUUCAGAAGUAGAGAUCUUGUCUUCCGGGAAUGCCUCUAGAGAUCUUUCUCCUGCUCAAGUUCCUAAAGCUCAUGGCUCAUCUUUUGUUGUUCCUAGUGGUUCAUCUGGUGCUCAUCUACCUCGCAGGAUGGUUUUACCAGGUAGAUAUAACUCGGAUUCUUAUGUUGCUCAGGGUAACAAGUUUCCUGUUUCUGCUAAAGAAAGGCGUCACCUCCUAGCAAUGGUUCAAAUUGGAGACCAUGAAAGUUGGUGCAAGUAUGAAGCAAUUCGAUAUGACUGA